AGAGUUUGAUCCUGGCUCAGAACUAACGCUGGCGGCGUGCCUAACACAUGCAAGUCGUACGAGAAAGUCGGCUUCGGCUGAUGAGUAAAGUGGCGCACGGGUGAGUAACGCGUGGAUAAUCUGCCUUUUAGUUGGGAAUAACGUACCGAAAGGUGCGCUAAUACCGGAUAAUACUGAGCAACUACUGUUGCUUAGUCAAAGAAGGCCUCUGUUUACAAGCUUUUGCUGAAAGAUGAGUCCGCGUACCAUUAGCUAGUUGGUAGGGUAAUGGCCUACCAAGGCUACGAUGGUUAGCUGGUCUGAGAGGAUGAUCAGCCACACUGGAACUGAGACACGGUCCAGACUCCUACGGGAGGCAGCAGUGAGGAAUAUUGCGCAAUGGGGGCAACCCUGACGCAGCAACGCCGCGUGAGUGAGGAAGGUUUUCGGACCGUAAAGCUCUGUCGAGUGGGAAGAAAUGUAUCGUGGCUAAUAUCCAUGAUACUUGACGGUACCGCUAAAGGAAGCACCGGCUAACUCCGUGCCAGCAGCCGCGGUAAUACGGGGGGUGCGAGCGUUGUUCGGAAUUAUUGGGCGUAAAGAGCGUGUAGGCGGCUGAAUAAGUCAGAUGUGAAAUCCCUGGGCUUAACCCAGGAAGUGCAUUUGAAACUAUUCAGCUUGAGUAGGGGAGAGGAAAGUGGAAUUCCUGGUGUAGAGGUGAAAUUCGUAGAUAUCAGGAGGAACACCGGUGGCGAAGGCGACUUUCUGGCCCUAUACUGACGCUGAGACGCGAGAGCGUGGGUAGCAAACAGGAUUAGAUACCCUGGUAGUCCACGCUGUAAACGAUGUUCACUAGGUGUUGGGGGUAUUGACCCUCUCAGUGCCGCAGCUAACGCAUUAAGUGAACCGCCUGGGGAGUACGGUCGCAAGAUUAAAACUCAAAGGAAUUGACGG
rnacentral:rRNA from 1 species